rnacentral:rRNA from 1 species
UACGUAGGGUGCAAUCGUUGUCCGGAAUUAUUGGGCGUAAAGGGUGCGUAGGCGGCGCGGUAAGUCGGGUGUGAAAUCUCGGGGCUUAACUCCGAAACUGCAUUCGAUACUGCCGUGCUUGAGGACUGGAGAGGAGACUGGAAUUUACGGUGUAGCGGUGAAAUGCGUAGAUAUCGUAAGGAAGACCAGUGGCGAAGGCGGGUCUCUGGACAGUUCCUGACGCUGAGGCACGAAGGUCAGGGGAGCAAACGGG